rnacentral:rRNA from 1 species
CUUUACUAUACGCUGACAUUGUUGCGUUGGUUUAUGUGUGCAGGAUAGGUGGGAGGCUUCGAAGCGGGGGCGUCAGCCCUCGUGGAGCCGAUGUUGAGAUACCACCCUCAUGUUCCGCCGCAACUCACUGUGUCUCUGAAACGGAGCACAGGACAGUGUUUGCUGGGUAGUUUAACUGGGGCGGUUGCCUCCUAAAGCGUAACGGAGGCGCGCAAUGGUCAACUAGCGCCGGAUGGAAAUCGGCGCGGUAGUGUAAUCGCACAAGUUGGCCUGACUGUGAGGCUCACAAGCCGAGCAGGGACGAAAGUCGGUGAUAGUGAUCCGGCAACCUGGACAAUUAAUCUUGUCCUCACCACGUGGGUGGGU